GCCUCGCCCCUCCCUCUCACAUUCCCAACUCCCAAGGACAACUUGUCGCUGGCUUCAGACGCCCGCCCUGCCGGAGGCUCCCUUCUGUCCCGGACUCUGCAGUUUCCUUUUGUCUAUUUGGCUAUUUUUGUACUUGACAAUUUCUUCGGGAACUAACUUGAAUCUACUUCUCUCUUAUUUGUUAUGCGCUCUCUCUCUCUCUCUCUCUCUCUCUCUCUCUCUCUCAGACACACACACACACACACACACACACACACACACACACACACUCUCUCUUCUUCCUCCUAGCCAUCUCUGAGUCUUCCAGCUGGCUCUAUCCUGUCCUUGGCACCUCCAGAUCCUACAGAUCCGACGGUGCCCGAGGUGUUGUAGGCUGGUAAGACUGCUCAGAGGGAAGGAGGCCCCGGGAUGAUCCACGCGGCCGUGCCCCGCACCCACCGGCGGCGCCACGGAGACGCAGGAUGCUCCAGAUCCUCCAAGUGCCGUCGGCGCCACCACACCAGACACGCGUAGUUCACGAAACCUCAAAGGGUGGAGGCGGUGGCCCGGGGCCGACUCUCCGGUGGCCCGCAAUUUGGUCCCAAGACACUUCAGGAUCCCGCAACCUAUGGAGAGGCUCGGAGGACGGCCUGGUUCCAAGAGAGGGCGCCAAAGGCGACGCGUUGGCGGCCGGCUGCAAGCCAACCAGGCCCAUUGCGCAGGAACCUGUCCCUUCACCCUGCAUUGGAAGCAGAGCUUCGGAGAGGAUCUGGCUGCGUGCGGAUUCAACGCCAGGGCGCCGCCUAGAGGACAAGAGGGGAUAUAAACUGUUUGAAGUUCAUCAGCACGGUGAAGUUUUAUUGUAUUUCCGGUUCCUAAGAUUUACACCCUGAAAAAGAAGCCGGCAGCCAGGCAGACUCCCUCCUUACCUCCGAGUUUCCACGCGGGAACUCAUAAGUGGCCAAGCGGACACUUGCCUUCGGGGAGCAGGGAGGGAGGGAACCAGGUCCAACCGACUCUCCCUCACCAGCUCAGUUCUACUUGGCUCCACUCUCCUGUCUACUCCCCUGUCUCAAGUCUGGGGUUGCCUUAGAGUUGGAAGGUUUGAUCUCUGAGAGCUUCCUGGGAGUCUGGGUAACCCUGGAGCCCAGGGACUGGCCAGAUGCCCACUCCGUUUGGUCUCCUUGAUGCCUCCUCCCAAAGGACUCAGUCACCUCCCACUGUCUCAGAUAUCCAUGAUGGCUAAGAGUUGGUAAGAAGAUUCCUCGGGUCCAGUGAGGCCACUGACCUCUGACAUCCUAUGACAGAUGUUAGAAGAUUUCGUUAUUUUCCAAUUAAGAUCCUUCCUUGGGGUUGUGGAAUUCCCCAGGUUUGAGUCCCAGUGUUCAGAAUGUGAUACCUCUUUGGAGAUUAUUUUGGACAAAGGGCAUGGGUUCUGGGAUCUUGUUUUUCCCUCCAGUGUCUAAUGGAACAAGUAUCUUUGAACCUUGCUGUAUCCCAGAGUAGGUCUGGAGUCUAACCUGGGGCUCAGAAGAAAUGUCUCUAGUGCUUGGGGACAGAGACUGGGGAAUCUAACAAUGUUGUAUGCACCAGUGUUUUGGCAUGACCUUCACAGUCACCUGAAGAUGAGGACGGCCACACUCAGUUGUCUCCUUUCCCUUCACACUUGUGUAAGAUACAAGUAAUAAUAUUUCCAUCCCUACCCCCUUCACUACCGUGAAAUAAGUAUCACACAGUGCAUGCUGUCCCUGCCGGUUGGGGGAAGAUACGAAGUAAAAAGAUUUCAUGGUUGGAUAACAAAAGUCACCAAAUUUCAUGACCUUUUCUGGGUCAGUUGGAGGUAUUUGCUUCAUCUCCCAUUAAAAUGUUCCAGCAGGAUGCUGUAAUUGAAUCCAGCCUUAAGUCACACACAUUUAUUUGACGCUGUAAUAUGAAUUUUGCUUGGAUACUAAGUUAAGAGGCAAGAUUUCAAGUGAGGCUUUUACAUCAAUUUUACAUUGUAUAGCCAAAAUUUAGACAUCAAUAUCGAGGUCUUUGUCUUUCCUAUAGGUGUAUUGAUUUUUUUAAAAAAAUAUGCACACCGGGUUUGGGGUUAUAUUUUUAAAAACAGGAACAGAAUCACUGUUAACAUACAUUAUUCACAGGGACUAUAUACAUAACCACAUAUGAACAAUUAGCUCUUAAUGCCUUUGCCCAGGCACAUUUAGUAUUACAGUUGGGAAGAUUAUUGCAUAUACUAUAAAUGUAUAGAAUAGAGCAUAUUUGAAUGCUAGGUUUCCUUUACAGACCUACUGGUUUGAAACAAACAUGCAAGACAAAUACAUCUGCUCAAAUCCAGCAGGUAUUAAUGUCAGCUUUAGCUUAUCAACUAAAAACAAACUAUUUUCUGUUUUCUCACAAUUUUCCAUGAUUUUUUUCUCUUGUACUCCCUUUUCAAUCCCUAGAUUUUCACUUCUUACAACAGAGACACCCUCACCCCACCCCCCACCAAAGACUCUCCCAAAGAACAGGCACUUACCCAGGCUGGUUGUGAUCAGCAUCAGCCCCUCUUCUUGGCUGCCCUGGGCCCCAGUGUGGCCCUGAGGCUUCACCUUCCUGUUUUUGUUUGUUUGUUUGUUUGUUUGUUGUUUUCAGGCUGCCCGCCACUAGCCCUAGCUGUGUUGAACCAAAGCUUUAGUGUAAGACAUGACAAGAGGGGAAUGUGGGAUUUUCUUUCUCUCUAGGACUGGAGGUGGACUGCAGAGUAGUUUUGCUCUCUGGACAGUGACCCCACUGUAAUGUUACUUUUGUCAAAUAUCUAUAGGCUUUGGGUCCCAGGGGCCACAAUUCUGUGUGCCCUGUUCUGGCAUGGUGGGUACCAUUGCUUAGGAAGGGGAGUAGAUUUGAGGGGUUCGUUCCUGGGAUCACCGAGCAUUUUAGAAAGGGGGCACCCACCUUGGUGACCUUUUUGUCCUUUGCCUCUGUUGAAGUUGAGCUCCAAUUUGAGGCAGCAAUCACUUCUAGAAAGCCUAGCAGCAAGGUUGAGACUCCUUGCUGCUACUGCUACUGCUGUAUCUUCCCCUGGAGGGGGGUGAAAUGGGGUAUAUACCCCAGGGACGAGGGGAAAAGUUCAUUCUCUUCUGUAAUCACCUCUUCAGAGAAGACAAGCCUCCCAAACCUGUCUCUUCCACAUUGUGUGCUCCCCCCCCCCCCGCCCCCAGCAUCUUGAGCAAAUACCAAAACUACUUUUUACUUAGAAAAGAGGCCUGGGUCUCCUCUUCACCCAUCAGUGAUUCCUUGAAAGAUUAAGAACAGCUCCCUGGGCAGUUACAACCCACAAAUAUGGAUUUAAAUGGAUUAUCUCCCUCUUACAGGGCACAAAUCAGGAGUCCAAAGGUUCUUCUUCUGACUCCUUCUCUAAACUAAAUGAGCCCCUUGACUUCUCUCUCCUUGUGAAGAGUCUGCAGCAAAGCCCAGGAGAGGACUGGGAGCCAGGGGGGCAGCAGGCACAACCCAGCGCUUACACAGCUUGGCUCUUAAAAACAGCCUUGCUCCAUCACUUUUCCAUAAAUAAAAAUGCCCUGGCCCACAGUUCACAUGUCCUUUUGGGCCCUAAUUUAUAUACUACAGAAAAUCAUAUACCCACCUUGACAUGCUUCAUAACGUUGUUAUUUAUGGAUGGGAAGGUU